rnacentral:rRNA from 1 species
UUGCCUACGGGAGGCAGCAGUGAGGAAUAUUGGUCAAUGGGCGCAAGCCUGAACCAGCCAAGUCGCGUGAGGGAUGACGGUCCUAUGGAUUGUAAACCUCUUUUGUCGGGGAGCAAGGCCCGCCACGUGUGGCGGGAAGGAGAGUACCCGAAGAAAAAGCAUCGGCUAACUCCGUGCCAGCAGCCGCGGGAAUACGGAGGAUGCGAGCGGUAUCCGGAUUUAUUGGGGUUAAAGGGGGCGUAGGCGGAAGGGUAAGGCAGGGGUCAAAUGUCGGGGGUCAA